rnacentral:rRNA from 1 species
AUUGAACGCUGGCGGCAGGCCUAACACAUGCAAGUCGAACGAGUAGCGGACGGGUGAGUAAUGGCUGGGAAACUGCCUGAUGGAGGGGGAUAACUACUGGAAACGGUAGCUAAUACCGCAUACCUUCAGAUGUGCCCUGUGGGGAGUAGCUAGUUGGGGGGGUAACGGCACACCAAGGCGACGAUCCCUAGCUGGUCUGAGAGGAUGACCAGCCACACGGGAACUGAGACACGGUCCAGACUCCUACGGGAGGCAGCAGUGGGGAAUAUUGGACAAUUGGCGCAAGCCUGAUGCAGCAAUGCCGCGUGUAUGAAGAAGGCCUUCGGGUUGUAAAGUCCUGUCAGCGGGGAGGCGUUACCUGCAGAAGAAGCCCCGGCUAACUCCGUGCCAGCAGCCGCGGUAAUUC